rnacentral:rRNA from 1 species
UACGAAGGGGACUAGCGUUGUUCGGAAUCACUGGGCGUAAAGCGCACGUAGGCGGAUGUGUCAGUCAGGGGUGAAAUCCCGGGGCUCAACUCCGGAACUGCCUUUAAGACUGCAUCGCUUGAAUCCAGGAGAGGUGAGUGGGAUUCCGAGUGUAGAGGUGAAAUUCGUAGAUAUUCGGAAGAACACCAGUGGCGAAGGCGGCUCACUGGACUGGUAUUGACGCUGAGGUGCGAAAGCGUGGGGAGCAAACAGG